CUAGCUUGUUCGUGUCGUCAUGGACUCAUGGUCCCUCGCCGCCGUACCUCGUUGAUCCCCGCGCGAGCUACCCAACUCGCCGCCCUAGCUUGACCACGCCUGAGCGAGAGACUGCAAGUCACCGCCGGUGCUCGCCCAUGGCUGCGCGCGCCGCGGCAACUCGCCCUCGUCACUGCAGCUCUCCGCCGGCGCUCAUCCAUGUCUGCACACGCCGGCGCAGUUCGCCCUCACGUCGCGGAUGCUUACGCGUGCCAGUGCAGUUCGCCAUGGGUGCUCGCGCCCCUUGCGGAUGCUUGCGUGUGCCAACACAGCUCGCUGCGGGUGCUCGCCCAUGCCUGCGCGCGGCAGCACAGCUCGCCCUCCCCUGCGUGUGUUGGCGCAGCUCGCCCCGCGACAUGCCUGAGAAGUGGGUGGCGCUGAACAUCAGCAUCAGUGGCAUGAUGGCAGCAGCCGCUGGAGGAGAUGGAUGCGUGUCAAGUUCUGAAGAUGUUGAAUGCAAGCAACCUGUAGUAGAUGAGGGAUGAUGACUGUGCUUCCCACAGAUUCCAUACGUCACAUCAGGAGCUUUGUUGAACUGGAAUCAAACGAACAAACCAAGGGAAAGGUAAAACAUAAUACCGUCCAGAAAGAUUGGGUUCCAUGUCGCCACUGCGGUACUGGGUGACGGGCAACACGCGACGCCGAGGAGAUCGGCGGCACGUGACGCCGAGGAGAUUGGCGGCACACGGCGUUGAGGCAAUCAGCGGCGUUGCGACGUCCAGGAGAUGGGGGCGGCGUCCAGCCAUUGACCCAAGAAGUCUUGGCGACCAGGGAUGCGGCAAGCACGGUAUUCACGGCGGGCAGCACACACUCGUCCGCUUCAAGUGCUGAUCUGAUGCCAAAGUACGUGAAGAUAGCAUCAGGGGUACUUUGGUCCUUUCAGGUGCCAAAAAAUUGAAAAGAAAAAGAAAAGUAAUUGAGAAGGGAAAAAUGGCAUGGUAAUCAAAGAGUACAGGAACUAGGUGGCAUUUUUACGAAGCCAAUGUUGAGAGUGGCAGUUUUGCGAAGCCUGAUAUUGAAAGUGGCAAACUUCCGAUUUUCUCGGUGCAGCCGCCUCGCUCUCGGGCUCGGGGAGCACGGGUAGGGGUAGUCCACCUUGUAGAGGGAGGCCACCGCGCGAUUGCUGCCGAUCAAGAUAUUUACCACGAAGAAGAUCGACCGGCCCUCCCCCUCGCCCUCGGUGGUGGUGCUGCUGCGGAUCUGCAGCUGGUUUCCGGUUCCAGCCGACUGUUCCUCGAGCUCAUCGCUGCUUCUUGUGUCGCCGCCGUGCAGCAUCUUCCUCUUCUUUUUACAGCUCAGGUUUCUGGACACCCCUUAUCCUUACCCUCCAACAUUGCUUUAAGAUCCGUGCUAGACAACUAACUUUGUACAUCAGUUUUUCUCUUUUUUGUUUCUUCAAAAUAAAACAACAUGUGAACUUCAAACUUUGCAAGACACCAAAACGUUCUAACUAGAAUGUGAGAAAAAACUUUCAGAUUUUUUCGUUAAACAUAAAUAUACGAAAUAGAUUUUUUGUAUUAAAAAAUGUACUUUUUAGUAUUUAUAUUGCACGAAAAAUUCUAAAAGUUUUUUCCCACAUUCUAGUAAGAAUGUUUUGUUGAGCUGCCAAGUUUGAAGUUCAUAUGUUGUUCUAUAUGGGAGAAACAAAAAAGAUAAAUGUACUCGCACGAAUCGCGAUGCAAAAAUGAGUGGCUAGAUAAGGGAGUGUAGGAAAGCCUAUGCUUUCUCAAAUGUUAACCCCCUUGCCGCCGUGAUUCUUCAUCCUCCUAUGCUAUGCUAUGCUACUCGAUCGAUCGGAUCCUAAUCCUAGAGUAUAGAGAAGAGGACAGGCGACAAGGGUAAACAUUUAUUUUUGAGACAACAGUAUUUUAUUUCUUGCUCGCACAGACAUCACCUUGGGCCAGGCCCAUUUAGCAGCUGUUUGCAGCGUUUUUUCUUUCCAGUUAUUUUUCUUUUUUUCUUUCGUUUUAUAUUUCUCGGGGGGAAACCCUUUUUCGUCGACUAUAUGCAGAUUUAUAUUUUAGUUUCUGAGCGUUUGUGGGAAGAUUACUAUUCAGUUUUUGACUAUAUGGAAAUUUCUGUCAGGUUGGAACUUUUUCUAAUUUAUAUUUUCUUAUGGAGAUUACCUCCGACACACGCUUCAAUCUGAAGGUAUAUGCAAAUAUACAUGUUUUACUGCAAAUCAUGAUGGCUCGCUUCCUUUUUUGUUGAAGUUCCUCUACACUUCCCAAAAUGUAAUUGUUCCAUGUAGAUUUUAGGUAAAGAGCAUAUACUAUGGAUGCAUACAUAGAUUAUUCUGCAGUUUCUUUCGUUUGGUCGAUGGCGGAUCACUGAAACUGAAUAGUGUUAGGAAAAUUCUGAACCUUUUCUGCCAGGAAAGAAAUUAUGGACACUAUAGUCUCUUAAGAGAAGGAUUUAUCUUUGUUGAACGUUCUCGUGCCACUUAUGCCCGUCUUAAUUGCUUGGCCACGCUGAAGAGUUUCCUGGUGUCACAAGCUUACUCAAAGUAUCUCAAAUAUAUGUGAGUUACUGCUAUCUAGGUACACACAAGAGGUCUGAAAAAAUCAAUCAAGGUCUAUUGAUUUAUCUAAUCUUCCCUAUACAGUGUGUUUGUGUAAAACCCAAUUUUACAGCGCAUGCUCAUCUGUGCUACCUGCGCAUCAUGGGGUCGACGCCUCCCCAAUCGAGGUCCAUGCUUCAACGUACAACCUCCGCGCACUCUUUCAUAGCGAUCUCGACAGAGCUAGCAAAUCUCUCUUCCUGACCUUCCCCAAUUUCUAUAUUUUAUAUCUCAAUUUCAUUUGCUCAUACUCUUUCAAAUGUACAGGUUUUCAGUUAUGGUUGACCCUUUUGUGCAGCAAAUUAUAUUGGAUUCGUUGCAGCAGCCACACAUAGACCCGCGCAUUAACAUCUGUCAGUAAGUUUGGUUAUACUUUAAAUUUAAAUGGCCCCUUAUUUAUUUAUUUAUUUGUACAUUUAUUUUUGAAUCUCAAUCUUAUAGUGGUUGGCAGAUAAAUCAACCUCGCCAGAUGCUGGGUCCAUGUUGAUGUUGAGCUUGCAGCCUAAAAUUCACAUGACUCAGAAGCAUGCAUAGUUGUGCACCAGAGAAGAGAAGGCAAACGAAAAUAAUUCAGAGGCGCCUAAAAGAAAUAGCAGUUUGCUGCAAAAGUUGUUCUGGUGAGAAAAGACUCAAGAGUGAGUCUCAUGGUUUAUAGGUGUCCUAUUUUUUUAUGAGAUUAUGAGUGAACUCACAUACUAUCUUUUCAGUGCAAUAUGUUUUUUAUG